AGCGUUAAUUCGGAAUUCACUGGGCGUAAAAGGGUGCGUAGGCGGUACGUUAGGUUCUGUCGUGAAAUUCCCCGGGCUCAACCUGGGAAUGGCGGUGGAAACCGGUGUACUAGAGUAUGGGAGAGGGUGGUGGAAUUCCAGGUGUAGCGGUGAAAUGCGUAGAGAUCUGGAGGAACAUCAGUGGCGAAGGCGGCCACCUGGCCCAAUACUGACGCUGAGGCACGAAAGCGUGGGGAGCAAACAGGAUUAGAUACCCUGGUAGUCCACGCCCUAAACGAUGAAUACUAGAUGUUUGGUGCCUAGCGUACUGAGUGUCGUAGCUAGCNCGAUAAUAUUCCGCCUGGAANACGCCGCA
rnacentral:rRNA from 1 species